AGCAUUACGCCGGAAGAACGGAUUACCCUGAUGAGGUAAAUUAUAGGUUUUAAAUCCUUAAUGCUU
rnacentral:tRNA from 1 species